rnacentral:rRNA from 1 species
CGGCGAACUAUGUGCCAGCAGCCGCGGUAAUACAUAGGUGGCAAGCGUUAUCCGGAUUUAUUGGGCGUACAGGGUGCGUAGGCGGUUGUGUAAGUUUGAGGUUAAAGCCCGGAGCUCAACUCCGGUUCGCCUUGAAAACUACAUAACUAGAAUGCAAGAGAGGUAAAUGGAAUUCCAUGUGUAGCGGUAAAAUGCGUAGAUAUAUGGAAGAACACCUGUGGCGAAAGCGGUUUACCAGCUUGUUAUUGACGCUGAGGCACGAAAGCGUGGGGAGCAAAUAGGAUUAGAUACCCUAGUAGUCCACGCCGUAAACGUUGAGUACUAGGUGUCGGGAAUUAUCUCGGCGCCGCAGCUAACGCAUUAAGUACUCCGCCUGAGUAGUAUGCACGCAAGUGUGAAACUCAAAGGAAUUGACGGGGACCCGCACAAGUGGUGGAGCAUGUGGUUUAAUUCGAAGCAACACGAAGAACCUUACCAGGGCUUGACAUCCAGUGCAAAGGCAUAGAGAUAUGCUGGAGGCUAACAUUGAGACAGGUGGUGCAUGGUUGUCGUCAGUUCGUGCCGUGAGGUGUUUGGUUAAGUCCAGCAACGAACGCAACCCUUGUCAUUAGUUACUAACAUUAAGUUGAGGACUCUAAUGAGACUGCUAGUGUAAGCUAGAGGAAGGUGGGGAUGACGUCAAAUCAUCAUGCCCCUUAUGUCCUGGGCUACACACGUGCUACAAUGGCUGAUACAAAGAGUCGCAAUCUCGUAAGGAGGAGCUAAUCUCAUAAAGUCAGUCUCAGUUCGGAUUGAGGGCUGCAACUCGCCCUCAUGAAGCCGGAAUCACUAGUAAUCGCGAAUCAGACAUGUCGCGGUGAAUACGUUCUCGGGUCUUGUACACACCGCCCGUCACACCACGAGAGUUGGUAACACCAGAAGUAGGUAGCCUAACCGUAAGGAGGGCGCCUCCCAAGGUGGGAUCAGCGAUUGGGGUG